AUGAAGCAGAUCCUUGCUAAGAAGAGUGUUCAAAAAUAUAUGGCUGAACACCACACAAAGAUAUGGUAUAGAAGCAAGUUCAAUGAAAUCUGCAAGGUUGACUAUGUCAAUAACAACCUCGCAGAGUCAUUUAAUAGCAAAGUCAGGAAAAUUAAGGCUCUUCUUAUUGUUGACAUGUUGGACAAGAUUAGGCAGAUGAUAAUGGAGAAGUUUGAUUUGCAGAUGAGGAUAGCAUUAGAAAAAUGGCUUGGCCAUCUCAUAAUACCAAGUGUCAUAAAGGCACUACAUGCCAAAUCCAAAGGUAAACAAACAUCUUCUGCUCUUUCAACCGACUAA
rnacentral:rRNA from 1 species